GCCGGGUUAGCUCAGUUGGUUAGAGCAUGGUGCUAAUAUCGCCAAGUUCACAGGUUCAAUCCCUGCUUACUGCA
rnacentral:tRNA from 1 species